GCAGUCUGCAACUCGACUGCAUGAAGCUGGAAUCGCUAGUAAUCGCGAAUCAGCAUGUCGCGGUGAAUACGUUCCCGGGCCUUGUACACACCGCCCGUCACACCAUGGGAGUUGGAAGCACCCGAAGUCGGUGACCUGACCGUAAGGAGGGAGCCGCCGAAGGUGAAGCCAGCGACUGGGGUGAAGUCGUAACAAGGUAAC
rnacentral:rRNA from 1 species